GAUGAACGCUGGCGGCGUGCCUAAUACAUGCAAGUCGAGCGAACAGACGAGGAGCUUGCUCCUCUGACGUUAGCGGCGGACGGGUGAGUAACACGUGGAUAACCUACCUAUAAGACUGGGAUAACUUCGGGAAACCGGAGCUAAUACCGGAUAAUAUAUUGAACCGCAUGGUUCAAUAGUGAAAGACGGUUUUGCUUUCACUUAUAGAUGGAUCCGCGCUGCAUUAGCUAGUUGGUAAGGUAACGGCUUACCAAGGCAACGAUGCGUAGCCGACCUGAGAGGGGGAUCGGCCACACUGGAACUGAGACACGGUCCAGACUCCUACGGGAGGCAGCAGUGGGGAAUCUUCCGCAAUGGGCGAAAGCCUGACGGGGCAACGCCGCGUGAGGGAUGAAGGUCUUCGGAUCGUAAAACUCUGUUAUUAGGGAAGAACAAAUGUGUAAGUAACUAUGCACGACUUGACGGUACCUAAUCAGAAAGCCACGGCUAACUACGUG
rnacentral:rRNA from 1 species